rnacentral:tRNA from 1 species
ACUUAUAUAGUUUAAUAAAAACUCUUCAUUUUCAAUGAAAAAAUGAAUAAUUUUCUAUAAGUA